AGGGGCAGGAGCAGGAGCAGAAUCCACACGGAUACGAUGGGGACCAUGGGAUGUGCUGUGGGGCUGGGGGACGAGCUCCUUGCUCUGUACACCCCAGUGCAGGCUCUGGAGCUGCUGGCAAGGGCCGUGCUGCUGGCGAGACGCUGCUGGAUGGCUCCAGGUUUUUCCAGGCCCGUGUCUCAGUUUCUCUUGACUUUAUGUGUUUUUAUUUCCUAUUAAAAGCCGCUGUCUCAUUUCCUCCAUGAAAAACAAGGCUCUUUCAGCAAGAUGAAUUCCUCCAGCUCCAGCAAAGCCCCUGUCUGCACUCAGAAACAAACAGGCUGUGUGGGACCUGUCACCUUCUCCCCUCUUCUUGCCCCACAUCACCCGCUGGGCUUGGAGCAGGGCAGAGAUGGUGAAUCCCAUCCCCUGGGAGCGCAUGGAUGGUGCCUGCUGCACGGAUCCAUCGGGCUGGUGCCAUUUGCUGCCCUGCUCUUCCCCUUCCCUCCUGGGAGCCUUCUGUGCGUUGGGCAGGGUUUGCUGGUGGCUAAAGGAGGAGAAACCAGCGGCACUUCUCCAGGCUGCUGCAUCCCGUUGCCAUGCUGGGAACAGCAGGAAAGAGCCCUGGCAUCUGCAACCCUCCGUCCGCAAGGGAGACAGAUCCUGGGAGGCCCCAGGAGCAGCUCCCAGAGCAUCUGCCUCAGCUGGAAGCACAGCGCAGAUGCCUUUGGGAUGAAAACACUUCCUCCACCCUCCACCUCCACCUGACAUUUGGGAAUGUGGAGCCGCAGCUCCCUGGAGCUUUUCCCGUCUCUCCUAUUGGAGCCGUUACACAUGGCUCUGGAGGGAGCCAGGAGGGAGAGGAUCCUCCCUGGAUUGUGGUCCGGGUGUUCAUCCUGGCCGGCAGCACUGCACCAGGCCUGGGUGGGUCGCCUGCAUCCCGGGAUGUGGCUGGACACGGGGUGCACUGAAUUGGUGGGUCCUCAGCAUCCCUUUCUGAUGGCUCCGAUGGGUACCACGGACGUGGAUCAUAGAAUCAUGGAGUGGUUUGGGUUGGAAAGGACCUUAAGAUCAUCCAGUUCUAACCCCCUGCUAUGGGCAGGGACACCUCACACUAAACCAUAUCCCCCAAGACCCCGUCCAACCUGGCCUUGAGCACUGGUCCUUGCAGGGCAGAGCCAAGCUGCACGGUGCCAGCAUCCCAGCAUCCUUUCUGGAGCCCAAGCCCCCGGAGGGGUGCCUCCAUGGGGCAGCCCUGCCCCUCACACUGGCUCUGGCUCAGCUCCAGCCUGUCCCUCCAUGGCAAACACAGUGAUGGACACGGCCGGGGGACAGCAGCUCCUGGGAUGCUCCUGAGAGCUGAUUCUGCAGGGCUGGCAGCUCAGCUCUGCCUCCCGUCCCUCCUGCUUCCCUCAAAAUGAAUGUGCAAUAUUAAAGGAUCAGAGCUGAGCUCCCCGGGUACAGAGAAACAACAAAACCCUCUUUAUUUCCCAGCCCCCAGCUAUGGAUUUGGGAUGAAAUGUUGGUGCUGGUAGGCGUGGAAGGGCACUGCAGCCACAGCUUAACAGCCACGGUGCACAUCAGGACAGGGCCACAUCCUGCCCCUGUGCAGCUCCUUGGGAGAAGCCGGGGCUGUCCCUUAGGAAGGACUAAAGGAGAAAUGAGAUGAGGAGCGUUGCUUUGACAGCUUCUCAAGGUUUCCUUUGGGGAAUGAGGGGAACAAGCUCGCCUGGAGGAUGGGAUUUUCCAGAUGCUGGGAGAGGGGAAGGGAAGCAGGGGGUGGGAUACAUCAAAGGAAAGGCACAGCGCUUCCCAGAGCGGGUAUUCCCUGCAUGCCUCCGGUCUUGCCAGGUGUGGGGUGGGAAGCAGCUGUGAUUACUGAGUGCAGGAGAUUGCAUUAGGCAGGGAGUUAUCAAAUACCCUGAGCUGGAUGGGGGCAAGGGAGGUUUGCACCUUCAGUGAGUAAUUCCAGCCCGGAGGAGCUGCAGAGGCACUGGGGGCAAACCAGUGAAGGCCCCACUUCCCACGCUGUGAAGGUGCUGUGCUGGGAGCUGAGGAUGCUCUGGCCCAUGGUGAGCAGCAUCAGGACAAACAGGCCAUGGCUGGGAAAGGGGAUAAACCAAAGGGAUAGGGCAACAGGGGGACCAGGGCUGAGUGGGAUGCUGCAGGGGUACUGAGACUGGGAUCUCUCUGUGCCAGCAACGCUGUGAGCACAGGUUUGCUCUGUGGCCACGCUCCAUCACCCCCUUCUAUACAAGAGCAGGGCCAGAUUUGCUCCAGACACAGAAUAAACCGCGCUCACUGUGCCCA